GUGUGACUGCGUACCUUUUGUAUAAUGGGUCAGCGACUUAUAUUCUGUAGCAAGGUUAACCGAAUAGGGGAGCCGAAGGGAAACCGAGUCUUAACUGGGCGUUAAGUUGCAGGGUAUAGACCCGAAACCCGGUGAUCUAGCCAUGGGCAGGUUGAAGGUUGGGUAACACUAACUGGAGGACCGAACCGACUAAUGUUGAAAAAUUAGCGGAUGACUUGUGGCUGGGGGUGAAAGGCCAAUCAAACCGGGAGAUAGCUGGUUCUCCCCGAAAGCUAUUUAGGUAGCGCCUCGUGAAUUCAUCUCCGGGGGUAGAGCACUGUUUCGGCAAGGGGGUCAUCCCGACUUACCAACCCGAUGCAAACUGCGAAUACCGGAGAAUGUUAUCACGGGAGACACACGGCGGGUGCUAACGUCCGUCGUGAAGAGGGAAACAACCCAGACCGCCAGCUAAGGUCCCAAAGUCAUGGUUAAGUGGGAAACGAUGUGGGAAGGCCCAGACAGCCAGGAUGUUGGCUUAGAAGCAGCCAUCAUUUAAAGAAAGCGUAAUAGCUCACUGGUCGAGUCGGCCUGCGCGGAAGAUGUAACGGGGCUAAACCAUGCACCGAAGCUGCGGCAGCGACACUGUGUGUUGUUGGGUAGGGGAGCGUUCUGUAAGCCUGUGAAGGUGUCUGUGAGGCAUGCUGGAGGUAUCAGAAGUGCGAAUGCUGACAUAAGUAACGAUAAAGCGGGUGAAAAGCCCGCUCGCCGGAAGACCAAGGGUUCCUGUCCAACGUUAAUCGGGGCAGGGUGAGUCGACCCCUAAGGCGAGGCCGAAAGGCGUAGUCGAUGGGAAACAGGUUAAUAUUCCUGUACUUGGUGUUACUGCGAAGGGGGGACGGAGAAGGCUAUGUUGGCCGGGCGACGGUUGUCCCGGUUUAAGCGUGUAGGCUGGUUUUCCAGGCAAAUCCGGAAAAUCAAGGCUGAGGCGUGAUGACGAGGCACUACGGUGCUGAAGCAACAAAUGCCCUGCUUCCAGGAAAAGCCUCUAAGCAUCAGGUAACAUCAAAUCGUACCCCAAACCGACACAGGUGGUCAGGUAGAGAAUACCAAGGCGCUUGAGAGAACUCGGGUGAAGGAACUAGGCAAAAUGGUGCCGUAACUUCGGGAGAAGGCACGCUGAUAUGUAGGUGAAGUCCCUCGCGGAUGGAGCUGAAAUCAGUCGAAGAUACCAGCUGGCUGCAACUGUUUAUUAAAAACACAGCACUGUGCAAACACGAAAGUGGACGUAUACGGUGUGACGCCUGCCCGGUGCCGGAAGGUUAAUUGAUGGGGUCAGCGCAAGCGAAGCUCUUGAUCGAAGCCCCGGUAAACGGCGGCCGUAACUAUAACGGUCCUAAGGUAGCGAAAUUCCUUGUCGGGUAAGUUCCGACCUGCACGAAUGGCGUAAUGAUGGCCAGGCUGUCUCCACCCGAGACUCAGUGAAAUUGAACUCGCUGUGAAGAUGCAGUGUACCCGCGGCAAGACGGAAAGACCCCGUGAACCUUUACUAUAGCUUGACACUGAACAUUGAGCCUUGAUGUGUAGGAUAGGUGGGAGGCUUUGAAGUGUGGACGCCAGUCUGCAUGGAGCCGACCUUGAAAUACCACCCUUUAAUGUUUGAUGUUCUAACGUGGACCCGUGAUCCGGGUUGCGGACAGUGUCUGGUGGGUAGUUUGACUGGGGCGGUCUCCUCCUAAAGAGUAACGGAGGAGCACGAAGGUUGGCUAAUCCUGGUCGGACAUCAGGAGGUUAGUGCAAUGGCAUAAGCCAGCUUGACUGCGAGCGUGACGGCGCGAGCAGGUGCGAAAGCAGGUCAUAGUGAUCCGGUGGUUCUGAAUGGAAGGGCCAUCGCUCAACGGAUAAAAGGUACUCCGGGGAUAACAGGCUGAUACCGCCCAAGAGUUCAUAUCGACGGCGGUGUUUGGCACCUCGAUGUCGGCUCAUCACAUCCUGGGGCUGAAGUAGGUCCCAAGGGUAUGGCUGUUCGCCAUUUAAAGUGGUACGCGAGCUGGGUUUAGAACGUCGUGAGACAGUUCGGUCCCUAUCUGCCGUGGGCGCUGGAGAACUGAGGGGGGCUGCUCCUAGUACGAGAGGACCGGAGUGGACGCAUCACUGGUGUUCGGGUUGUCAUGCCAAUGGCACUGCCCGGUAGCUAAAUGCGGAAGAGAUAAGUGCUGAAAGCAUCUAAGCACGAAACUUGCCCCGAGAUGAGUUCUCCCUGACCCUUUAAGGGUCCUGAAGGAACGUUGAAGACGACGACGUUGAUAGGCCGGGUGUGUAAGCGCAGCGAUGCGUUGAGCUAACCGGUACUAAUGAACCGUGAGGCUUAACCUU
rnacentral:rRNA from 1 species